UUAAGUUGAUCUCGUCACGGUUCUCUGUGCCUCCCGCAGGCGCCAGAGCUAAGAGGGAAUCCGGUGCGCCGCAAGGCAAUGCCGGAGCUGCCCCCGCAACUGUAAGCGGCGAGCCGAAGUCCACCACGCGUCACUGAGGCCUAUCGGCUUCGGGAAGGCCGGACGGAGGCGACGACCCGCGAGCCAGGAGACCUGCCGCGACGCCAUAUCGUCCU
rnacentral:ncRNA from 1 species